rfam:Tinamus guttatus contig24184, whole genome shotgun sequence.
UAAUAGGUGUUACUUAACACCACAAAAAUUAUUGAAUGCAUCAUUG